AUAUCAAUAAGCGGAGGAAAAGAAACCAACAGGGAUUACCUCAGUAACGGCGAGUGAAGCGGUAACAGCUCAAAUUUGAAAUCUGCCCCCCCGGGCCGAGUUGUAAUUUGUAGAGGAAACUUUUGGCAAGGCACUUUCUGAGUCCCCUGGAACGGGGCGCCAUAGAGGGUGAGAGCCCCGUAUAGUUAGAUGCUUAGCCAAUGUAAAGUUCCUUCGACGAGUCGAGUAGUUUGGGAAUGCUGCUCAAAAUGGGAGGUAAAUUUCUUCUAAAGCUAAAUAUUGGCCAGAGACCGAUAGCGCACAAGUAGAGUGAUCGAAAGAUGAAAAGCACUUUGAAAAGAGGGUUAAACAGCACGUGAAAUUGUUGAAAGGGAAGCGCUUAUGACCAGACUUGCGCCGGGUUGAUCAUCCGGUGUUCUCACCGGUGCACUCUACCCGGCUCAGGCCAGCAUCGGUUCUCGUGGGGGGAUAAAGACUUAGGGAACGUGGCUCCUCCGGGAGUGUUAUAGCCCUAGGUGCAACGCCUUCGCGGGGACCGAGGUUCGCGCUCUGCAAGGAUGCUGGCAUAAUGGUCAUCAGCGAC
rnacentral:rRNA from 1 species